rnacentral:tRNA from 1 species
AGUCUUAUAUUCAUAGAAAUGAUAAUAGAAUGCAAUUCUGUAGGAGUAAGAUUAUUACUAAGACUU